GCCAGCGAGGCCCACUCUCUGAGCGGGACAAAACACACACACACACACACACACACACACACACACACACUCACACUGGUAAUCAAGACAGAAUCUCCCUCGUAGGCCACAGUCAAAAGUGGGGAGGAGGGAGAGGGAGGAGAGGGUCGAGGGGGAAAAGGGGAGAGAGACACAGAGACUGAGAGACAGAGGCAGAGACAGAGAGGCAGAGGCAGAGACAGAGAGGCAGACCCAGAGACAGAGAGAGACAGAAAGAGAUAGAGAAACAGAAAGACAGAGAGAGGGAGAGCGCAACUAGUCUCUCUCAUCUCUCUCCUCACCCCACCCCCUCAACCCGGGGCCCUCUCCCCCACUUUCACUUUAUUUCCAUGAUUAGUGUGACCAAAAUUAAUGAAUUAAUGGCUCCUAAUCGGGGCUGGCACGGGGGAAGUUUAGUUUGUUACUUUUAUUGAUUGUUUUGGGCGAGGGGGGAGAGGGAGGAGGAGGUGGGGAGGCAGAGGAGUUUCGAGGCAGCGUCUCUGUCUCCCCUCGAGGUCUCCAAGCCCGGGUCCUCUCAGUCGGCAGCAGGGGCGAAGGACAAAAGAAUGGAAAGUACAAAAUGGAAGCAGGACAAUGACCUUGGGAGAUGGAAAAAUGACUACUUCAGAAACUUGAGACCUGAAGUAGAAGCCAAAGAAAUACCAAGCUGCUUCUACUUGUCCAACCAAACCCUCACUCCAGGGAAGGGAACCAAGGGAAAGAAGUCCCCUGAGGGGGAACUCUCCAGGAAGGGUGUGAACAGCACAAACGUGAUUUUAUACCUCAAGUGGGCAUACUAUCUCUCUGGCUUGAAGGGUGAAAGAGGAGUCCAGGAACAAGAGGUUUAUCCCAAUCACUUGGAUCUUCAAAGGUGGUUUCUUCCAGGUAUGCCUUCAAGCUUGUUGGAUUUCCGGAAGUUUGUGGCUCUUCCUGCACAUUUUACACUCAUGCAGUAGAACUUUGAGGUGGGCUUAGCCAGUGAGUAGUCCUGCAUAGUAGUAGGGGUGCUGGACAUAGGAC
rnacentral:lncRNA from 1 species